rnacentral:piRNA from 1 species
AUAUGCUUAUUUAAGGGAACAAAG